UACGUAGGUGACAAGCGUUGUCCGGAUUUACUGGGCGUAAAGAGCGCGCAGGCGGUCGUUCAAGUCGAGUGUGAAAGCCCCCGGCUCAACUGGGGAGGGUCAUUCGAUACUGAUCGACUCGAAGGCAGGAGAGGGAAGUGGAAUUCCCGGUGUAGUGGUGAAAUGCGUAGAUAUCAGGAAGAACACCUAUGGCGAAAGCAGCUCUCUGGGACGGUACUGACGCUGAGACGCGAAAGCGUGGGGAGCGAACAGG
rnacentral:rRNA from 1 species